rnacentral:rRNA from 1 species
AUUGAACGCUGGCGGCAGGCCUAACACAUGCAAGUCGAGCGGUUGAGGUAGCUUGCUACCGAAGCAGCGGCGAACGGGUGAGUAAUGCAUGGGAAUCUGCCUGGUAGUGGGGGACAACGUUUCGAAAGGAACGCUAAUACCGCAUACGCCCUACGGGGGAAAGGGGGGGAUCUUCGGACCUCUCGCUAUCAGAUGAGCCCAUGCCGGAUUAGCUAGUUGGGGGGGUAAGGGCCCACCAAGGCGACGAUCCGUAGCUGGUCUGAGAGGAUGAUCAGCCACACUGGAACUGAGACACGGUCCAGACUCCUACGGGAGGCAGCAGUGGGGAAUAUUGGACAAUGGGGGCAACCCUGAUCCAGCCAUGCCGCGUGUGUGAAGAAGGCCUUAGGGUUGUAAAGCACUUUCAGUGGGGAGAAAGGUGAUUCACCUAAUACGUGAGUCAAUUGAUGCUACCCACAGAAGAAGCACCGGCUAACUCCGUGCCAGCAGCCGCGGUAA